CCUACGGGGGGCAGCAGUGGGGAAUAUUGGACAAUGGGGGCAACCCUGAUCCAGCCAUGCCGCGUGUGUGAAGAAGGCCCUCGGGUUGUAAAGCACUUUCAGUGAGGAAGAACGCCUGGUGGUUAAUACCCAUCAGGAAAGACAUCACUCACAGAAGAAGCACCGGCUAACUCCGUGCCAGCAGCCGCGGUAAUACGGAGGGUGCGAGCGUUAAUCGGAAUUACUGGGCGUAAAGCGCGCGUAGGUGGCUUGAUAAGCCGGUUGUGAAAGCCCCGGGCGCAACCUGGGAACGGCAUCCGGAACUGUCAAGCUAGAGUGCAGGAGAGGAAGGUAGAAUUCCCGGUGUAGCGGUGAAAUGCGUAGAGAUCGGGAGGAAUACCAGUGGCGAAGGCGGCCUUCUGGACUGACACUGACACUGAGGUGCGAAAGCGUGGGUAGCAAACAGGAUUAGAUACCCUUGUAGUC
rnacentral:rRNA from 1 species